UUUUUUUUUAAGUUUAUACUAUUGAUUUAAAAAAUAUAAGACUCAAAAAUAAACAUAUUCUCGUUGAAUGUUUUUUCACAAACACCUCAAAAUUAUAGUUUUCAGUUUCUCUUGAAAUGGCUAGAAACUACUCAAAAAUUAGUUUUCCUAAAUUUAAGGGAAUUUUUGCUAAAAAAAUCUGGAAUGGUUAAAAAAUAGAUUUUUAAAGAAGCAAAAUCCAAAAACAGCCCAAAACUGAUAAACAUACAAGGUGACGAUCUUCAAGCUUUU
rnacentral:lncRNA from 1 species